GCUUCUGUGGCGAAAUUGGUUAGCGCGUUCGGCUGUUAACCGAAAGGUUGGUGGUUCAAGCCCACCCAGGAGUG
rnacentral:tRNA from 1 species